AGAGUUCGAUCCUGGCUCAGGAUGAACAUUGGCGGCGUGCUUAACACAUGCAAGUCAGACGGGAAAUCGUGUUUGUAGUGGCAGACGGGUGAGUAAUGUGUAAGAACCUGCCCUUGGGAGGGGAACAACAAUUGGAAACGGCUACUAAUACCCUGUAGGCUGAGGAGCAAAAGGAGGAAUCCGCCCGAGGAGGGGCUCGCGUCUGAUUAGCUAGUUGGUGAGGCAAUAGCUUACCAAGGCGAUGAUCAGUAGCUGAUCCGAGAGGAUGAUCAGCCACACUGGGAUUGAGACACGGCCCAGAAUCCUACGGGAGGCAGCAAUGGGGAUUUUCUGCAAUAGGUGAAAGCCUGACGGAGCAAUGCCGCGUGGAGGUAGAAAGCCCAAGGGUCGUGAACUUCUUUUCCCGGAGAAGAAGCAAUGACGGUAUCUGGGGAGUAAGCGUCGGCUAACUCUGUGCCAGUAGCCGCGGUAAUACAGAAGAUGCAAGCGUUAUCUAGAAUGAUUGGGCGUAAAGCAUCUGUAGGUGGCUUUUUAAGUCCGCCAUCAAAUCCCAGGGCUCAACCCUGGACAGGCAGUGGAAACUACCAAGCUAGAGUACAGUAGGAGCAGAGGGAAUUUUCGGUGGAGUGGUGAAAUACGUAGAGAUCAGAAAGAACACCAACGGUAAAAGCACUCUGCUGGGCCGACACUGACACUGAGAGACGAAAGCUGGGGAACGAAUGGGAUUAGAUACCCUAGUAGUCCUAGCCGUAAACGAUGGAUACUAGGCACUGUGCGUAUCGACCCAUGCAAUGCUGUAGCUAACGAGUUAAGUAUCCCGCCUGGGGAGUACAUUCGCAAGAAUGAAACUCAAAGGAAUUGACGGAGCCCGCACAAGUUAUGGAGCAUGUGGUUUAAUUCGAUGCAAAGUGAAGAACCUUACCAGGGCUUGACAUGCCGCGAAUCCUCUUGAAAGAGAGAGGUGCCUUCUGGAAUACGGACACAGGUGGUGCAUGGCUGUCUUCAGCUCAUACUGUAAGGUGUUGGGUUAAGUCCCGAAACGAGCGCAACCCUCGAGUUUGUUGCCACCGUUGAGUUUGGAACCCUGAGCAGACUACCGGUGAUAAGCCGGAGGAAGGUGAAGAUGACGUCAAGUGAUCAUGCCCCUUAUGCCUUGGGCGAAACACGUGCUACAAUGGACAGGACAAAGGGUCGCGAUCCCGCGAGGGUGAGCUAACUCAAAAAACCCGUCCUCAGUUCGGAUUACAGGAUGCAACUCGCCUACAUGAAGCCGGAAUCACUAGUAAUCGCCGGUCAGCCAUACGGUGGUGAAUUUGUUCCCGGGCCUUGUACACACCGCCCGUCACACUAUGGGAGCUAGCCAUGCCCAAAGUCGUUACCUUAACCGCAAAGAGGGGGAUGCCGAAGGCAAGGCUAGUGACUGGAGUGAAGUCAUAACAAGGUAGCUGUACUAGAAGGUGCGGCUA
rnacentral:rRNA from 1 species